rnacentral:rRNA from 1 species
AACCCCCGCAAUGUGAGAAAUCGCGACGGGGGGAUCCCAAGUGCCAUUCUUAACGGGAUGGCUUUUCAUUAGUGUAAAGAGCUUUUGGAAUAAGAGCUGGGCAAGACCGGUGCCAGCCGCCGCGGUAACACCGGCAGCUCUAGUGGUAACAAUUUUUAUUGGGCCUAAAGCGUCCGUAGCCGGUUUAAUAAGUCUCUGGUGAAAUCCUGCAGCUUAACUGUGGGAAUUGCUGGAGAUACUAUUAGACUUGAGACCGGGAGAGGUUAGAGGUACUCCCAGGGUAGAGGUGAAAUUCUGUAAUCCUGGGAGGACCGCCUGUUGCGAAGGCGUCUAACUGGAACGGUUCUGACGGUGAGGGACGAAAGUUAGGGGCGCGAACCGGAUUAGAUACCCGGGUAGUCCUAACUGUAAACGAUGCGGACUUGGUGUUGGGGUGGCUUUGAGCUGCUUCAGUGCGAAGGGAAACUGUUAAGUCCGCCGCCUGGGAGUACGGUCGCAAGACUGAAACUUAAAGGAAUU